GAUGAAGAACGCAGCGAAAUGCGAUAAGUAAUGUGAAUUGCAGAAUUCAGUGAAUCAUCGAAUCUUCGAACGCACCUUGCGCCCUUUGGCCAUUCCGAAGGGCAUGCCUGUUUGAGUAUCAUGAACACCUCAACUCUUCAUGGUUUUCCAUGAUGAGCUUGGACUUUGGGGGUCUUGCUGGCCUGUGGGUCGGCUCCUCUCAAAUGAAUCAGCUUGCCGGUUUUUGGUGGGCAUCACAGGUGUGAUAACUAUCUACGCUUGUGGUUUUCCACCAGGGUAACCUUCAGCAGUGGAGGUUCACUGGAGCUUACAAAUGUCUCUCCUCUGUGAGGACAGCCCUUUGAAUGUUUGAUCUCAAAUCAGGUAGGACUACCCGCUGAACUUAAGCAUAUCAAUAAGCGGAGGA
rnacentral:misc_RNA from 1 species